GGGCCCGUAGCUCAGAGGUAGAGCAUCUGACUUUUAAUCAGAGUGUCCUAGGUUCGAUUCCUAGCGGGCUCA
rnacentral:tRNA from 1 species